UAACUGAGUAGAUUCAAAACUCACGAAAAUGUUGUAACCAUGCCCUUAGUUUGUCUCGUGGAAUCUGGCUAUAAAAAUAAAGACUCGGCUUACAGGUUCUGGGGC